rnacentral:lncRNA from 1 species
CUAGUAUGUAUCAUCCCACACAUCAGUAUAUAUGUUUCUACUACAUAUCAUAACAGUUAACCAAUAAAAUUACCAUCAUGUGUCUAGAAUUGAUUGAAUUAUUUCAUACCAUUUGUAGUUAAGCACCUCUUAUUUAAUGUUUUUUAGAGUGAUUUUAAGGUGACCCAGAGUAAACUACUUUCUGUACAUAUUGACAGUAGUUAUUCUUGAGAAGAGACAUAUCUCCUUUUCAAAUUGACCUGUAAAAUGUUUGACACAUUCUUAAAUAGUUAUAAUGAACAAAUGAUGAAAUCAUUGUCAGUGCCAUAAGUCAGUCAUCUAACUUGAAUAUGCAUAUAUGUAAUUUUUUCAAAGUUAUAAGACAUUUUCACAUAUGUGGUUUAAUUUUUGGAGUCCUGUGGUUUAUUUUUUAAGAUUCCUUUUUUCCAUAAAUGAGCAUACCCCUUGAAUCCUUUCGUGAUGUGGCUCCUCCUGUCAUUUUUUUUUUCAGCCAAUAAGUUCUUUUAAAAUUUAAUACUUUGAAUACAUCUAAUAGUUCCAUAGUUUUUACACAUUUAUUCUACGGUUCUCUACUUUCCAAAUUAAAACAAAUGGAUAAGUUCAGUCACUUUUUUUAAAACAGAAACAUGUCCAAUAUCACUACACAGAGAUUUUUUGUUUGCACACAUCUCUUCAGUUACUCAAUUAGAAGCGCAUUAAGGAUAUUCACCCAUUUGUAACACUUUAAGUGGUGAGCCCCACCAUCUAUAUCCACCUCUGACAUUAUGGUUCAGUUUGUUUUCAAAGUUUUUUCAAGACAACUAUAACUUUGUCAAGUUUUUAUGAAAUUUUAUAAACAUUAUAAGAAACUUUUAC